AUUGAACGCUGGCGGCAUGCUUUACACAUGCAAGUCGAACGGUAACAGGCCGCAAGGUGCUGACGAGUGGCGAACGGGUGAGUAAUGCAUCGGAACGUGCCCAGUCGUGGGGGAUAACGCAGCGAAAGCUGCGCUAAUACCGCAUACGAUCUAUGGAUGAAAGCGGGGGACCGUAAGGCCUCGCGCGAUUGGAGCGGCCGAUGUCAGAUUAGGUAGUUGGUGGGGUAAAGGCUCACCAAGCCGACGAUCUGUAGCUGGUCUGAGAGGACGACCAGCCACACUGGGACUGAGACACGGCCCAGACUCCUACGGGAGGCAGCAGUGGGGAAUUUUGGACAAUGGGCGCAAGCCUGAUCCAGCAAUGCCGCGUGCAGGAAGAAGGCCUUCGGGUUGUAAACUGCUUUUGUACGGAACGAAACGGUCUGGAUUAAUACCCUGGGCUAAUGACGGUACCGUAAGAAUAAGCACCGGCUAACUACGUGCCAGCAGCCGCCGUAAUAC
rnacentral:rRNA from 1 species